AGGACGAACGCUGGCGGCGUGCUUAACACAUGCAAGUCGAACGGGGUCCAAGCAGUCGCAAGACUGUGGAAGACCGAGUGGCGAACGGGUGCGUAACACGUGAGAAACCUGUCCCGGUCUCUGGAAUAACAAGUGGAAACACUUGCUAAUACCGGAUGCCGUCGGUCCAUCGCAUGGUGGACUGACGAAAGGGUUACCGGAUCGGGAGGGUCUCGCGGCCUAUCAGCUUGUUGGUGAGGUAACGGCUCACCAAGGCAUCGACGGGUAGCUGGUCUGAGAGGAUGAUCAGCCACACUGGGACUGAGACACGGCCCAGACUCCUACGGGAGGCAGCAGUGGGGAAUCUUGCACAAUGGGCGAAAGCCUGAUGCAGCAACGCCGCGUGCGGAAGAAGGCCUUAGGGUUGUAAACCGCUUUCAGCAGGGAAGAAAUGACGGUACCUGUAGAAGAAGGUGCGGCCAACUACGUGCCAGCAGCCGC
rnacentral:rRNA from 1 species